CCCUCUGGCUAAUGAAUGCAAA
rnacentral:miRNA from 1 species